rnacentral:rRNA from 1 species
UAAUUCUCCAUAGUAUCGCAAGAUUAAAGUACUUAACUGUACGUUUCGGGAUGAGCCUGCGUCCUAUCAGCUAGUUGGUGGGGUAAUAGCCUACCAAGGCAACGACGGGUAGCUGGACUGAGAGGUCGAUCAGCCACAACUGCACUGAGACACGGGCAGUACACCUACGGGUGGCAGCAACCAGGAAUAUUGCGCAAUGGGGGAAACCCUGACGCAGCGACGCCGCGUGGAGGAUGAAGGCCUUAGGGUCGUAAACUCCUUUUGCCAAGCCGUUCACAGCUUGGCGAAUAAGCCUCUACUAACUACGUGCCAGAAGUCUCGGUAAUACGUAGGAGGCAAGCGUUAUCCGGAUUUAUUGGGCGUAAAGUGUGCGUAGGCGGGAUACUAAGUCUUAACUUAAAUACUAUGGCUUAACCAUAGGAAAGGUUAGGAUACUGGUAUUCUUGAGGAUUGUUCGGGGUGCUGGAACAGCUAGUGUAGCAGUGAAAUGCGUUGAUAUUAGCUGGAACACCAAAGGCGAAGGCAAGCACCUGGAAUCUUCCUGACGCUGAGGCACGAAAGCUAGGGUAGCGAAACAGAUUAGAUACCUGUGUAGUCCUAGCUGUAAACUAUGUCUGCUAGCUCUUGGUUUUUUAUCAGGGGCGUAAGCU